GUGUCAAAAUUUCAAAACAAUUGGUAAAGAACUUUCGGAGAUUAGCGAUUUUGAACAAACGAACAUUUACAUUUUUAUUUAUGUAGAUAUAUAUGUAUAAUAUCACAUUACAACUAUAUAGCACAUGAAUAACUUGUGGUUUCAUCAGCUAUAUUUCUUAUUUUUAAUAUGGUUCUCGUAUAUAGUAUAGUACUGUAAUUUUUUGAGAAUGCCUCUUUGCAUUGACUUGAUACAUACAAUAUUUAUGUAUGAUGGUAAAAAGAAAGUUUUUGUUGAAUUUAGGUAGUGUACUUGGUCUCCCAUCCCCCUGAUAGCCAUAUUUAUAAUUAAUACAACAUUUUGUUGGAUGGUUUGGGGCUAUCUAAAAUUGAAGUAAAAAGGAAUAAGUGUAACCACCAGACUUUCUACACAUAUACUCUGGUGCCAAGAGAUGGUUUGGGUGCAGUAAUAUCAGUUUGGAGGAAAUUGAGUGAACAUACAAGUAUAUUAAAUAUCUUGGGAAUGCUUAAAGUUGUCAUCUUGUCUACAUGUGUUUGCUGGGUGAGCUACAGUUCUCAGGCCCAUAUCUGAGUCAUCUAUUUCAGUAGCUACUGCCCCUCUUGCCUGGUAUCAUGCCUAUCUUGAAAUUAUGGAUGGACUUAGCCUUAAUUACUGUUUCUCCCCUUUCAGCUCACUUCACUGGGUCACUACUCUUGCUCUCUUCUCUUAGGUGUUCCUGGUAGCAAUAUGUACAGUACAUUAUAGUUUUGUCAAAUUUUAUUUAUACUUUUUUUUUUAAUUUGCAGUGUCCAUGAAAUAUCUGGACAAUACUUUUGUAUAUCACUUUGAAAUUAAUGACUUGCAUGUAGUAGGGAAAGAAAGAACAAUAUUUUUAUUGAUCCAUGCAUCUCCCUGGUGUCUAAUGUUUAUGCAUCCCUCUAAUGCCAUAGGAUACUUCCAUUUGUCUCGGUUUCACUAGAACCAAUUACGUGUUUGCUUAUACUGUACUGUAUAAGGUAUAUUCCAAGAACAGAUAAAGAUACUGUAUGAUAUUCAACCCACACAUCUGAAAAGGAAGAAAAAACUAAGUUUCAGUCUGUCCUGGACCAUUAUCACAACUUGAUAAUGGUCUAGGAUGGACCGAAACGUUAUCGUUUAUUAAAUUUCAGAAGUGUGGGUUGGGUAUCAAAUCUUAAGCCAUGCUAUUGUGACUCAUUGUCUGCAACGAUUCUGUAUUCUUUUCAAAUUUGAAAUGUGUAUAUCUCAAAAUUAUAUCCUAGUGUAUUUACGUAAUGUGUUUACAUCGUCAUCCAAAUACUGUAGUUUUAAAGUUACAAUUUCUUCAGUUUCCAGUAUACUUUACCGUACUGUUUUUACAAUGUGAUAAAUUUAUGGCAGCUUUUGACUACUACUGGGUUUCUAAAUUUUUUAUUAAUUUUUAAUUGUAAAAAGAUUCAUUUUUUUUUAUUGUUGUCAGCGUAAAACAGCUGACAGCUGUCGACUUUAUGGCCAAAAUAUAACAUUUUAAAAUGAGGUCUUUACAAAUCCUAUAUUUUUUUCUGAUCACCAGUAUGGUUUUAUGUAAGGUCCAUUCUAGUGGCAAUGUCUCAAAUCUUACUCAUUCAGUAUAUGGUCCACCUCACUUUGUGAUUACAAUGAAUCAUUUGCAAUAGCCCUGAUAUUUCUGAAGCUUUUAACACAAUAUUGCAAAACUUUACUCUCCAAAUAUACAAUUUUUGGCUAUCAGCAUGUAUUUUUAGUAUACUAUCUAAUAACCCUGACAGUGCUGCUGUUGAAGAUGGCUUAACUCUACCUCUUUCUUUAUUAACUGAAGUGUUCCAUGAGAGACUGUUCUCUCACCCACUCUUAUUAUUCAUCAAUGAUUUUUGUGGCAUAGCUAAUAAUAUCCAUUCUUAUGGUGAUGACUCUCUUUGGUACUCCUCAAGUACAGUACUUAUCUGGUAUCCCUCACUGAAUCUUAUUCUUUAGGACAUUUUAAUUAUUAAAAAUAUUAACAAAAAAUAUUCAAGCAAUACACUAAAAUUAUAGGAAAAUUAGAACCAAGAUAUGUUCUAUAGUUUGUGCUAAUAUCUUUGUGAUUUUAAUUUAACUGAAAAAUAUCAAAUAAAUAAAAAGUCCAGAUUGAGAGUCCAGAUACUUCGUGUGUCAAAGGGGGUUCAGUAUCAGUUACUUCAGAGAAUUGAAACAUCACUGUACUAGUACUGUACAGUAUUACUCCUUUUUGUAAUCUGAUUUCAACUCUGUUCAUUUUCAUUCUGGUUAGAAUGAUUAAUUUAAAUACUGUACUGAAGCCUAACACCAGAGAUUGAAUUUUAUGAUCUUAUUCUGUAUUGACACUGUUCUCUGUAAAUAUGUUUAAUGUUUUGUUCUUAGAAUUUUCUCUUAUAUGGUGAUUUUUGUAUUUUGUAAAGUUUUUGGUGGCUGGCCCACUUUUUCCUUUUUUAUCAAUUAUUAAUUUUAAUGGUGGUAUUGAUACUAUGCAGCCUGCAAGUUUGGUACAUGAGCAAGUGAUCUUGCACUCAUGAUUGUUCAAUCUGUUUGAGAAGUUUCUAUCCCAAGGCUCAUCAGGUUUUUUAGAUGAUACUUUGUUUCCAAGUCUCAUCGUUGAAUAGAAUGUAAACUAAUUUUUAUAGCAUAUAACUACUUUAGUUUGUCACACAUUGCUGGUUAUCUGUGUCUUUUGUCUUAAUGAACAUGUGAGUUGUCUUUUGAUUAAUGCCUUGUCAGCCACACUGCAUAUUCUUUUGUAAGAUACUCUUGUCUUCUGUACUUAUUUAUAUAUGUAAAGUACAUCAACAUUACUCCAUUCUUUAGCAAAUAGAGUAAAACAGGUGCACCAAGAGGUAAAUGGAGUGAAACAGGUGCACCAAGAGGUAAAUGGAGUGAAACAGGUGCACCAAGAGGUAAAUGGAGUGAAACAGGUGCACCAAGAGGUAAAUGGAGUGAAACAGGUGCACCAAGAGGUAAAUGGAGUGAAACAGGUGCACCAAGAGGUAAAUGGAGUGAAACAGGUGCACCAAGAGGUAAAUGGAGUGAAACAGGUGCACCAAGAGGUAAAUGGAGAGAAACAGGUGCACCAAAAGAUAAAUGGAAUGAAACAGGUGCACCAAGAGGUAAAUAGGGUGACGCAUAUGCACCAUAAAGUAAAUAAGUGAGCCAGGCUCUGUGACAUGAAACAUGGGCCAUGCCCUUCAAUAGGGUGAAACAGGUGCACUAAGCCCAGCAAUAGGGUUAAACAGAUGUACAAAACCCAAUAACAAAGAACAAUACAGUAUAUUAAUUUUUCCUCUCUGAAUGUAUGUUUUAUUUUUGGUGCAACUCCAAAUCAUAAAAAAUGCUUGAUUUAUUAAAUUUUGUAGAAUAGACACUAGUUUUUUGUUGUGAAAUUUUUUAAUUUAUUUAACUGCUUAAACCAUGGCUACAGUUAACAGCAGUUUAUUGUACAUACCUGUUUAUACUCAUAUUUAUUAUGAAUGUGUGGAUAAGUUUUGUCUGUGAAUAUCAAUUGAGUAUUACAAAAUAUUUAUUGACUUCAUUUUAUGCACCCUAAAUACAACCAGCUGACUGCUAUGCAUAUGGAGUUGUAACAAAAGAGAACUUGAUGUGUUUCAAAAACUAUGAAAUGAAGUAUUUUUAUCAUGUUGGGAAACGUCUGUAAUUUUAGUUCAUGAGGGUGAGCCUCACAUUUUGAUAGGUGAUACAAGUUGAAAGGGGGUGAUUUAUGACAAAUAGUCUUUAAAAUAAUUAUGUAUUCUUAUUAAGUUGUAUGAUGAAUUUGUAAAUAAAAUGAACUAAAAA